GACGAACGCUGGCGGCGUGCUUAACACAUGCAAGUCGAACGGAAAGGCCCUGCCUUUGUGGUGUUCUCGAGUGGCGAACGGGUGAGUAACACGUGAGUAACCUGCCCUUGACUUUGGGAUAACUUCAGGAAACUGGGGCUAAUACCGGAUAGGAGCUCCUGCUGCAUGGUGGGGGUUGGAAAGUUUCGGCGGUUGGGGAUGGACUCGCGGCUUAUCAGCUUGUUGGUGGGGUAGUGGCUUACCAAGGCUUUGACGGGUAGCCGGCCUGGGAGGGUGGCCGGCCACAUUGGGACUGAGAUACGGCCCAGAGUCCGACGGGAGGCAGCAGUGGGGAAUAUUGCACAAUGGGCGGAAGCCUGAUGCAGCAACGCCGCGUGCGGGAUGACGGCCUUCGGGUGGUAAACCGCUUUCGACUGUGACGAAGCGUGAGUGACGGUCAUGGGUAAAGAAGCACCGGCUAACUACGUG
rnacentral:rRNA from 1 species